CGGAAGCCAAUCACAGCCCCCGGGGGGGCUAUCUCAGCGUGGACGGGAGCGGAGCCAUGCCGUGGUGCGGCCGGCGCCCUGGCAACCUGGAAGGGUGCUUCUCGCCUUAACCGAGUCUGUUGGCUAACCGCAGAUCGCGAGGGUGUUGAAGGGGGGUGGGCAGAGGCUUCUAGCAGGUCCAGGUGAUGCUUAGGAAGGCACAACUGAGGCUCAUAAGACGUCGGGGAGUUACAGAUGGAGAGAGGAGCGCGGGGGAGGACGGGACCGUGGUGGAUGGACUAUGGAGCAAGGAUGAUCCUUGGACCUUGAAUCUGCUGGUCUCUCCGCGGCUGGCCGAGGUGGGCGGCUUCAGGUCCUGGGCUAGCUAGGCCUCACUGGGCUGAACGGUGAUGCCUGAGCAGUCUCCCCCCAACCAUCCUGUAGAGGACUUCCUGCCGCUGUCCAUCGUGUCCCUCUUCUGCUGCUUGCCAUUGGGGAUCAUUGCCCUCAUCUUCACGAUCAGGGUUUCUUCCUGAGGAGGCCUCUUCAGGCUUCCACUCAGCCCUCGUUCAACCAAGGAACCCCUCUUCCCUGACUGGACUCCUCCAUCUAUAACCCUCUCCUGAGGACUCUCCCACCAAUCUGCAUCCCCCCCCAUCCCCAGACCCAGUCUGCCAACAACUAUGGAGACAGAGUCAAGGCAGAGAAGAAUUCCAAGACGGCCUUCACCCUGGGCAUCACGAGUAUCAUCCUGGGACUGAUAGCCAUGUUCUUCACUGCCGCCCUCCGCCUUUUCAUGAUCUCUGAACUAUCCAAGAGGCCCUGAGAAUGGUCUAGUCCCAUCUCCUCUGUCCAUUAUGUCCCUCUUCUGUCCAGAGGUGGAAGGCCAGAGUCGGAGGGCUCUCCUUGCUCCCUGAAGACCCUUGGACUCAGAUAUUCAGAUGUCCAUUCCCCGACUCUGUUCUCUGGACAAAGUCUCCCCUCCUCCCCGACACUUUGGGGGAUAAUAAAUCCUAUGAGGAGAUUUCUGCCUUCUGGGUGAUCCUUCUUUUUCUCUCUUUUUGAGUUCCCUGAGUGCUCAUUAUCCA